CAUAAGACUUUCGUAUGGUAACGUAGUGUAACGAAACGUGGGUCAACGCACAAGAAACGUAUCGGUUACGGCGUUAUACGUCAAUACGUUUCUUGUGCAUUGAUCUACGUUACGUUACUAUACGAAAGUUUUGUGCGGAGGCUCUAACCGAUACGUUUCUUGUGCGUUGAUCCACGUUAAGUUACGCUACGCUAUAUACGAGAGUCUUGUGCGGAGGCUCUUAGUUAGCUAAGUCUAACUAGCUCAUCUUCAUGAAACUUUACGUUGCGUGCGUCUAUUUAAUGACGAUGGAUGUAGAAAGCUCUUCAAAUCACUUCGAGAGGAUUAUCAAAAGCGAUCUCCAUAUAUCGCAUAUUUAAUCAGAUGUCGUCAGGGAUUGCUGUUGACAUUAGCUCACUUAGAUAGAUUAUGCGUGCGAGUUAAGUGCGAUCGGGAUGCUAUCAAUAAUCAUCUUGUAUCCGUUUGUGUGAGGGUAUUUUUGGAAAAAAAAGAAAGCUUUCCUCCUGCGAAGAGUUUAAAAAGCUUACGCUAGCUGACGAGAAACAGGUUCUCGUGGAUAAUUUUAUAGAGAAGGUCCACGUAGAAAUGGACAACGAUCCGAUUUGGCAAUCGGCAAGCGCCAACCAGUUAGAUUUGGCGAGAGUCGUAGUGGAAAGAACCGUCAUGGCACGGGUAUACCACAAUACGCUCUAUCUAAAUGAAGAUGGAGAUGUAUAUAGGGACCAGCUUUUUCACGGUCAUAUCAAUAAGUUGGCAAAGGUCGUAACUUCAAAUCACAGGGACCUACGCAUUUCAAAAGUUUAUCAUUACGAAUGCCCCUAGUCAUGGGCGCAGGCUGAAUUGGCUGUGAUAUCGGUGUAUAAGACUCCUAGGGAUAAGUUGCAGUGUGUAUUUUGUUGCGCGACUACCAUCAUGAAUCUCUUUUCCAUGGCGUCGGAAAGAGGCAUACCUGCUGCCGACGAUCUGACUCCCGUGUCUACAGGUAUGUCAUAAUCAAGACUAAUUCGCCGUCGUUGUAUCGACUGUUCAAUAUGUAGACAGCUUUUACGGGAAUCGAUUGGAGAGAGAAGAACAAUAUUGGUGGACGCAGUUCUGCGCCGCGAUCGAGUUAAGACAAUGGAUUAACAGUUUCUCAAGAGUAUCACGAUAAAUAAGAUUAGAUUCGAUGCUGGUGAUAAUGUAGAAAUGUAUCAUAAUCAUAAUUUGACGAUUUCAUAAAGAAGAAGACCAAUAUCUUGUGUAAAGCUAGCUGAACAGUUUUAUGCUUCCAGUAUCAAUUAAAAUUUUUAAAUAACCUCUUAAAUAGUCUAACUGUUAGUUCUUUCGCACGUUAUUAUGUAACAUUAGCAAAGACUGAAUUAGAUUAUACGUAAAGUGUGGCUUUAUCUUUAUUUGUAACUCUAUUGUACAAUAUGUCACAGGACAUCGAAAAAAAAAGAAACGUUUAGAUAUUCUAUAAUUUAUGUACAAUACAGAACUUAUAGAGAAUUGAUAACCAUUUAGCAGGAUAAA